rnacentral:rRNA from 1 species
UAGCUUCAGUGAUGGAUCGGUCAAUUCGCAUACCGACGAAAAACACAUGUAACUAUGUUAUUUACCACGAAUUGCAGACGCUUAGAGUGAUGAAAUUUCGAACACAUAGUGCCGUUGGGUUUUCCGUUUGCGUCAGGGUUG